AUGAACGCUGGCGGCGUGCCUAAUACAUUCAAGUCGAGCGAACAAACUAGGAGCUUUCUCCUCUGACGUUAGCGGCGGACGGGUGAGUAACACGUUGGUAACCUACCUAUAAGACUGGGAUUACUUCGGGAAACCCGAGCUAAUACCGGAUAAUAUAUUUAACCGCAUUGUUUAAUAGUUAAAGACGGUUUUUCUUUCACUUAUAGAUGGAUCCGCGCCGCAUUAGCUAGUUGGUAAGGUAACGGCUUACCAAGGCAACGAUGCGUAGCCGACCUGAGAGGGUGAUCGGCCACACUGGAACUGAGACACGGUCCAGACUCCUACGGGAGGCAGCAGUAGGGAAUCUUCCGCAAUGGGCGAAAGCCUGACGGAGCAACGCCGCGUGAGUGAUGAAGGUCUUCGGAUCGUAAAACUCUGUUAUUAGGGAAGAACAAAUGUGUAAGUAACUAUGCACGUCUUGACGGUACCUAAUCAGAAAGCCACGGCUAACUACGUG
rnacentral:rRNA from 1 species